rnacentral:rRNA from 1 species
ACGUAGGGUGCGAGCGUUAAUCGGAAUUACUGGGCGUAAAGCGUGCGCAGGCGGUUGUGCAAGACAGAUGUGAAAUCCCCGGGCUCAACCUGGGAACUGCAUUUGUGACUGCACGACUGGAGUGCGGCAGAGGGGGAUGGAAUUCCGCGUGUAGCAGUGAAAUGCGUAGAUAUGCGGAGGAACACCGAUGGCGAAGGCAAUCCCCUGGGCCUGCACUGACGCUGAGGGGCGAAAGCGUGGGGAGCGAACGG